rnacentral:rRNA from 1 species
UGGGGAAUCUUGGACAAUGGGGGCAACCCUGAUCCAGCCAUGCCGCGUGGGUGAAGAAGGCCUUAGGGUUGUAAAGCCCUUUCAGUCGUGACGAUGAUGACGGUAGCGACAGAAGAAGCCCCGGCUAACUCCGUGCCAGCAGCCGCGGUAAUACGGAGGGGGCAAGCGUUGUUCGGAUUUACUGGGCGUAAAGGGCGCGUAGGCGGAUUGGAAAGUUGGGGGUGAAAUCCCGGGGCUCAACCCCGGAACUGCCUCCAAAACUAUCAAUCUAGAGUUCGAGAGAGGUGAGUGGAAUUCCGAGUGUAGAGGUGAAAUUCGUAGAUAUUCGGAGGAACACCAGUGGCGAAGGCGGCUCACUGGCUCGAUACUGACGCUGAGGUGCGAAAGUGUGGGGAGCAAACAGGAUUAGAUACCCGCGUAGUCC